rnacentral:rRNA from 1 species
AGAGUUUGAUCCUGGCUCAGAUUGAACGCUGGCGGCAUGCCUUACACAUGCAAGUCGAACGGCAGCACGGGAGCAAUCCUGGUGGCGAGUGGCGAACGGGUGAGUAAUACAUCGGAACGUGCCCAGUUGUGGGGGAUAGCCCGGCGAAAGCCGGAUUAAUACCGCAUACGACCUACGGGUGAAAGCGGGGGAUCGCAAGACCUCGCGCAAUUGGAGCGGCCGAUGGCAGAUUAGCUUGUUGGUGGGGUAAAAGCCUACCAAGGCGACGAUCUGUAGCUGGUCUGAGAGGACGACCAGCCACACUGGGACUGAGACACGGCCCAGACUCCUACGGGAGGCAGCAGUGGGGAAUUUUGGACAAUGGGCGCAAGCCUGAUCCAGCCAUGCCGCGUGUGGAAGAAGGCCUUCGGGUUGUAAACCACUUUUGUCAGGGAAGAAACGGUCUGAUCUAAUAAAUCGGACUAAUGACGGUACCUGAAGAAUAAGCACCGGCUAACUACGUGCCAGCAGCCGCGGUAAUACGUAGGGUGCAAGCGUUAAUCGGAAUUACUGGGCGUAAAGCGUGCGCAGGCGGCUAUGCAAGACAGAUGUGAAAUCCCCGGGCUCAACCUGGGAACUGCAUUUGUGACUGCAUGGCUAGAGUACGGCAGAGGGGGAUGGAAUUCCGCGUGUAGCAGUGAAAUGCGUAGAUAUGCGGAGGAACACCGAUGGCGAAGGCAAUCCCCUGGGCCUGUACUGACGCUCAUGCACGAAAGCGUGGGGAGCAAACAGGAUUAGAUACCCUGGUAGUCCACGCCCUAAACGAUGUCAACUGGUUGUUGGACGGCUUGCUGUUCAGUAACGAAGCUAACGCGUGAAGUUGACCGCCUGGGGAGUACGGCCGCACGGUUGAAACUCAAAGGAAUGACGGGGACCCGCACAAGCGGUGGAUGAUGUGGUUUAAUUCGAUGCAACGCGAAAAACCUUACCUACCCUUGACAUGUCUAGAAGUUUCCAGAGAUGGAUUCGUGCUCGAAAGAGAACUAGAAUACAGGUGCUGCAUGGCCGUCGUCAGCUCGUGUCGUGAGAUGUUGGGUUAAGUCCCGCAACGAGCGCAACCCUUAUCAUUAGUUGCUACGCAAGGGCGCUCUAAUGAGACUGCCGGUGACAAACCGGAGGAAGGUGGGGAUGACGUCAGGUCAUCAUGGCCCUUAUGGGUAGGGCUACACACGUCAUACAAUGGCCGGUACAGAGGGCUGCCAACUCGCGAGAGGGAGCUAAUCUCAGAAAACCGGUCGUAGUCCGGAUCGCAGUCUGCAACUCGACUGCGUGAAGU